AGAGAGACUCUGGACAAGAGAUAUCUGGUCUCUCGCAUAGAAGAAGAAUAGAGAAAAAUGAGAUACGGGGUGAGAAGCGCAGAAUCCCGAGACCCAGAGAGUUUGAGAACACAAGGUGCCCCAUAGCACAAUAGGGAGAGCACAUGUCCGCGGGGGUCUCAAG
rnacentral:rRNA from 1 species